rfam:Spirochaetes bacterium RBG_16_49_21 RBG_16_scaffold_813, whole genome shotgun sequence.
GCGUCCGUAGCUCAGUUGGAUAGAGCGCCGGACUACGAAUCCGUAGGUCGCAGGUUCGACUCCUGCCGGACGCG